rnacentral:rRNA from 1 species
UACGUAGGGCGCAAGCGUUUGUCCGGAUUCACUGGGUGUAAAGGGUGCGUAGGCGGGAGAGUAAGUCCGCGGUGAAAUCUCACGGCUCAACCGUGAAACUGCCGUUGAUACUGCUUUUCUUUGAGUUCGGGAGAGGUUGAUGGAAUUCCAGGUGUAGCGGUGAAAUGCGUAGAUAUCUGGAGGAACACCGGUGGCGAAGGCGGCGUUCUGGACUGCAACUGACACUGAGGAACGAAAGCCAGGGGAGCAAACGGG